GUUUUUGUGCUUAUGGUGAGACUAUUGUUAUGAAUGGAAAACUUAUAUGUAUAUAUCUUGUUGUAAAAAUGUAUUUAUUUAUACAUUUCUGGGUCGUUCUUCAGGUUGAAGUUCAAUAUUAGGACCUGGUACUGGAGACCCUUUUUAAAGUCUAUUACUCUCUCUCUCUCUCUCUCUCUCUCUCUCUGUGUGUGUUUACUUUGUUUCAUUCUUCCUUUCAUAACAAUAGUCUCACAUAUAUUUCUAUAGAGCUUCUAUCUUUGUCUUAAUCUAUUUAGUUUGUUUGUCAUUUGAGUCAUCUCCCCAAAUCCCAACCCCACCCCCCCCGC
rnacentral:misc_RNA from 1 species